rnacentral:tRNA from 1 species
CAUCAAAUGACUGAAAGCAAGUAAUGGUCUCUUAAACCAUAAUAUAGUAAUUAGCAACCACUUUUGAUGA